CGCAAUCAACUCCUUUAGAAAAAGAACUCUUGUUCAAGUACACUGGAUUAAUCAUUUCAUCAUUACAACAAAAAAAUAAUCUGUAGCAAAAUGCAUCAAACAGAUACAGAGUAAUUAAAAUUAAGAUUAAAAUAGCAAUAAUAUUAUAUAUCAAAAAGGAUUAAAAAUAUUAAAAUUAAAAAAAAAAAGUCAUCCUGUUCUAACAAGGGACUAGCCUUUACAGCACAAACAAUAUUCACCCAAAACAAUAAUAUUGACAACACUACCAGCAAUAAAAAAGAAUCAACACAAGAAGAAACCCAGCUGCAUAUUUUUCUUGUCAACAAGGCAUUUUCUAUGCAAUGGUUUCUUUGAACUUGGCAAGAAUGGAGAGCAGAGAACUCCAUCAACCCUGUUUCCUCUCAAGAAAGUCUCACAAUUGAGUUUCCAUGUUUCUAGCACCUAAUCUCAUAUGAGCCUGCUUUAGUUAUAUAGCGGACCCACUCAACUGUGUUGUACCCACUUUUUUCCCAUACCUUGAGAAAACGAACACGUAAACCAGAUGCCGUAAACAUGGGAACCUGAAACUCCAUCUGAAUUGGUGGCCUUGUCCAAGACUUCUUCUCUGCCAUUGUAGAAAUCAGCUCAACUUCUGCACUCAAGGUGGGCUCAGUUUGUCCAGGAAAUUUUCUUAUCUUCCAAACCAAACAAUCAAUUGCAGCAUUGUACUUUGCUCGACCUGAUGUCACCCGGAAGCUUGCUUUAGCAGUUUGUUUGGGUACAGGAAUUUUGAUGACAACUCCAAGUGCAAACAUUUUUGCACCAAAGACACUCUUGACCUUAACAUUCACUUCCAUUCGCGUUCGACCAAGUUCCUUGAUUGUUGGGAAAACCCGAAAUGGAAGGUUAACUCCCUCAGUUAUGCGAUACCUACAAAAAGAUGAAUCAGCAGACAAUUAAAUAGGUCAAAAGAUUUAAAAAUAUAUAUAUAUACUGACACCACUUCCAAUGAGAAUCAACUAUACAUUUGGAGAAGUGAAAUAAUAAACCAAUUGGACUUUUUAACUACGAGAACAACGGAUAGAAGAAACAGUUUAAAAUAAGCAUUCUAAAAUAUACAAGUGCUGAUGGGACAUUUAGCGAUAAACUUCCAACUGGAAACAAAAAAACAACAUACAUUCUCAAGCAAAUGGCAAUAAGAAAGGAUGGUUACCUGACAAAAUAUAACUGCUGCACAUUAUGCAAAAUUAUAGCAUACAAGGAAACAUAAGAAACACAAAAUAUACAUUUAACCUAAUUUUUAAAAAAGAAAGGGGGAAAAAAAAGAUUAAUGUAAUCUAGGAAAGGCCUCAAUGGAAGAUAAAAUUGAAAAAGAAAUUUAAAGGUGGUCUAGAUGUGUUGCAGAGAAUAAAUACUCAAUGCAAAGAGAUGGCUCUAAGUAGAUUAGGCAAAACAAAAAUGUAAUCAUAUUUUAAUUCCUAAAAAUUGAGAUAAAUAAUCCAUUGUUGAGACAACAUGCUAGACUAUUACAUGUAUGAUUGGAAAUUUCAUUAGCAAAACAAAAUCCAUUGUUAAGCACAAUAAGUUUGUACUCUAUUGGUUGCGGUUAAUACAACAAUAAUAAUAACUAAUCAUUAAUCCCAAACUAGUUAGAGUCAGUUAUAUGAAUUAUUUUUCACCAUUCAACUUAGCUUGAAACCAAAUCUACAUCAAUAUCCAAAAAAUUAUAAAUUUUUUAAUAAUACUUCCCUCUACAUCGUUUUAGGUCUCCCCCUCUCCCUUUUGACUCCUUCAACACUAACUUAUUAUACUUCUAUGCUAAGGCAUUCAAUAUUCUACAUUGCACAUGACCAAACCAUCUUAAUCAACCUUUUUUCAUUUUAUCCCCCAUAUGUGCUACAUACACUAUCCAACGAAUGUGAUCAUUCCUAAUCUUAUCCAUUAUCAUGAUACCAGACAUCGAUCUUAACAUUUACAUCUCUAUCACACUCAUUUUGUAGGCACAUUGUACCUUAGAUGUAAUAAAACUUCGCUCCAUAUCGUUUUAGGUCUCCCCUUUUUCCUUUUCACUCCUUCUACCGCUAACUUAUUACGCUUCUGUACUAAGGCAUUCAGUACUCUACUUUGACUUGACCAAACCAUCCUAAUCAAUCCUUUUUCAUUUUA
rnacentral:misc_RNA from 1 species